GUUGGGAUAGCUCAGUCAGUUGAGCGUGGGACUCAUAUUCUCAGGGUCAUGGGUUCAAGCCCCAUGUUGAACA
rnacentral:tRNA from 1 species